rnacentral:lncRNA from 1 species
UUUAUUUUUCAAAAUUUGAAAUCUUAUCCCAAAACUCCAUUCCCCAACUCUAAACCCUAAAACAUAAACCCUAAACCCUAAACUCUAAAAUAUAAACCCUAAACCCUAAAUCCUAAACCCCACCCCUUAACCCUAAACCCUAAAUCCUAAACCCCACUCCUAAACUCUAAACCCUAAACCCUAAACUCUAAACCCUAAACCCUAAACCUCACCCCUUAACUCUAA